rnacentral:rRNA from 1 species
GUAAAGUUUUAUCCUAGCUUGUUCUUUCAUUUUUAGGUUAAUGGUACAUGUAAAUUUUAAUGUUACAACAUAUUUUGUUAAAACUAAAGGUUAACAAAUGGUUUAAAAGUAGAGGUUUCUUUAAGAAAUAAAUUCUCAGUACCUAGUGCUAAUCAAUAAAUAUACGUUAGAAUUGGUAAUCCUAAUUAUAUACCUGGUUAAAAUUUGUGCCAGCAGCCGCGGUUAGACUGAGAGGUAAAAUGAAAGAAAUUUGGUUAAAAACAGUUAUAUUUAUUAAUUUUUUUCUUUUAAAGGACUAUAUUAAUAAAGGGUGAAAUCAGUUUUUUAAUAAAUAGUAAAAUAAAAGUCUUAAUUUUAAUUGAAG